GAUCCUGGCUCAGAUUGAACGCUGGCGGCAUGCCUUACACAUGCAAGUCGAACGGCAGCACGGGAGCAAUCCUGGUGGCGAGUGGCGAACGGGUGAGUAAUAUAUCGGAACGUGCCCAGUCGUGGGGGAUAACGUAGCGAAAGCUACGCUAAUACCGCAUACGAUCUAUGGAUGAAAGCGGGGGAUCGCAAGACCUCGCGCGAUUGGAGCGGCCGAUAUCAGAUUAGGUUGUUGGUGGGGUAAAAGCCCACCAAGCCGACGAUCUGUAGCUGGUCUGAGAGGACGACCAGCCACACUGGGACUGAGACACGGCCCAGACUCCUACGGGAGGCAGCAGUGGGGAAUUUGGACAAUGGGCGAAAGCCUGAUCCAGCCAUGCCGCGUGAGUGAAGAAGGCCUUCGGGUUGUAAAGCUCUUUCGGUGGGGAAGAAAUUGCAUAGGCUAAUACCCUGUGUAGAUGACGGUACCUGGAGAAGAAGCACCGGCUAACUACGUG
rnacentral:rRNA from 1 species